UUGAAACUGUUGUUCUUGAGUACAGUUGAGGUAGGCGGAAUGUGUAAUGUAGCGGUGAUAAUGCAUAGAUAUUACCCAGAACACCGAUUUGUAGGCAGCUUACCAGCGUGGAACUGACGCUGAUGCACGAAAGCGUGGGGAGCGAACAUGAUUAGAUACCCUGGUAGUCCACGCCGUAAACGAUGAUCACUCGCUGUUGGCAAUAUAGAGUCAGCGGUUGAGCGAAAGCACUAAGUGAUCCACCUGGGGAGUACGUCGGCAACGAUGAAACUCAAAGGAAUUGACGGGGGCCCGCACAAGCGGUGGAACAUGUGGUUUAAUUCGAUGAUACGCGAGGAACCUUACCUGGGAUUAAAUGUAGCCGGACGAUUCCGGAAACGGGAUUUCCUUAAUGGCUGGUUACAAGUUGUGGCAUGCCGGUCGUUAUCUUGUGCCGUGAGGUGUCGGGUUAAGUCCCAUAACGAGCGCAACCCUUAUUCGUAGUUGCCAGCGGGUAGAGCCGGGGACUCUAAGGAGACUGCCACCGUAAGGUGUGAGGAAGGUGGAGAUGACGUCAAGUCAGCACGGCCAUUACGUUCAGGGGUACCCACGCGUUACAAUGGCCGGUACAGAAGGCAGCAAACAUGAGAGAGGGCGGGAAUCCAUGAAUCCCGGUCUCAGUUAGGAUUGGAGUCUGCAACCAGACUUCAAGAACUUGGAAUCGUUAGUAAUCGUGCAUCAGCAAAUGCCCGGUGAAUAGGUUCCUCGCCCUUGUACACACCACCCGUCAAGCCAUGGAAGCCGGGGGUACGGGAACUCCGUAACCGCAAGGACCGGCCGAGGGUAAAACUGGUGACUGGGUCUAAGUCCUAACAAGGUAACCAAGGGCGAA
rnacentral:rRNA from 1 species